UACAGGGGAUGGGUAAAGGACCAAUGGGUUACAGAGGAUUUGGGACGGGCACAGGCCAGUGGGUUACGAAGGAUCUGCAUAGUGUCUCCUAAAGGACUGUGGGUCUGUCUUUUCUCGCCGUGACCAGAGAAGUGGUUGCCUUUCCAGGGAGUUCUGCUGGGCGAUUGCGAAAUCUCUUAUUUCAGCAGAGAUCCCUCCAGGGGAGUGGCUGGGCAUACCCCACACCCUGGCACUCCAGGGAGUUCCAGGCUGCUGCAACUGUUUGGCUCAAGCCCCUGAGAGACGCUGGACUAUUGCUGAGUGAUGGCUCUGAGAGUUGUCCACUUGUGGAGGGCCAGGGUGCUGGGCCGGGUCCGGGGAAGGUUUUGGGUGUGGAAUGGCCCGUGCGCAUGAGACGGGGGGGGGGGGGGGGGGUGAACUCUCGCUGCCUGGAGGCUGCAAAUGGGGCUUUGAAGGGGGUAAGAGGCAAAUGCUGCAAGGAGAGAUGGUGCCUCUUCUCCUGCUAAUGGCCCUCCCUGACACAACUUGCACAAGUUGUAAAACUUUCUCUUCCCUUCUAUGUUUCUUUAAGUGAUCAUUUCAUACUUUGUUGUUGCUGUAUUGCGAUAGGGACCAAAGGGCUGCAUGGCUGCUUUCCGUCGCAGCCCCACGGUUCUGAAAUAAACCCUGCGUACGCACGUAGGGGUGCACGUGUUUGCAAA